CAGGAACGCCUAUGGAGAAUUACGGCUGCAUCUCAAGUGUGCCAUUGGAUUGCCUCCGAUGGUUUGGCCAAGUUUGACCAAGCAAGCAUUCUUAGAAAGCAGAAAACUGUCAGUAGAAUCCUUGCAAAGGGCGUCAUAAGUUUUUGGCGUUCAGCUGAGGCUGUCCGAACUACUGGCGGAACAACUAAAGUGAUGCAAAAAAAUGAUUCAAAUAUGCCAGGAGAGACAAAGCCUACUGGAACCAAAGCUGAGAAAGUGAUGCAAAAAAAUGAUUCAAAUAUGCCAGGAGAGACAAAGCCUACCGGAACCAAAGCUGAGAAACAACAGGU
rnacentral:lncRNA from 1 species